UCACUUGUCGAGUUGCCUUAAAUUUUUGACACGCUAAGUGGGCUAAAGCUGGAGAAGACACAAACAAACUUGUUUCACAAGAUGGUUGUUUGGAACAAUGAAACAAUAGAAUGGUUCAUGAACUAACAGACGAAAGGAUUCUGUAACCACCCGCGCCCGAGAAAGAGAUUCAAGUUAUCACCAGCCUUUAGAAAAGUAACCCCAGAAUUAAAAACAGAUGUAACGUUGCAACUCA